AACCAGACUCCUACGGGAGGCAGCAGUGGGGGAUAUUGCACAAUGGGGGAAACCCUGAUGCAGCGACGCCGCGUGAGUGAAGAAGUAUUUCGGUAUGUAAAGCUCUAUCAGCAGGGAAGAAAAUGACAGUACCUGACCAAGAAGCCCCGGCUAACUACGUGCCAGCAGCCGCGGUAAUACGUAGGGGGCAAGCGUUAUCCGGAUUUACUGGGUGUAAAGGGGGCGCAGACGGCGAUGCAAGCCAGGAGUGAAAGCCCGGGGCCCAACCCCGGGACUGCUCUUGGAACUGCGUGGCUGGAGUGCAGGAGGGGCAGGCGGAAUUCCUGGUGUAGCGGUGAAAUGCGUAGAUAUCAGGAGGAACACCGGUGGCGAAGGCGGCCUGCUGGACUGCAACUGACGUUGAGGCCCGAAAGCGUGGGGAGCAAACAGGAUUAGAUACCCCGGUA
rnacentral:rRNA from 1 species